GGUGAGGUUCCCGAGUGGUCAAAGGGAGCAGACUGUAAAUCUGCCAGCUCAGCUUUCGAAGGUUCAAAUCCUUCCCUCACCACCA
rnacentral:tRNA from 4 species